AAGACAGACUGUGGGGUUUUAAUCUGACCAAAGGCCAAUGGAGUCAGUGCUUUGUUGGAGGACUGCCAUGGAAAUGGGGAGUGAUGCAGCUCCGGAGGAGGCACAUUACGCUGAUCCAGUGCAGCAGACCCUUACCACACCUGUUUUCAAAGUAGCUAUUGGCUUUGUUGACAAAGGAAAAUUUAGGGCUGAGUACAAAUCCUGUUCCGUAGGAAGGAAAUAUUUUGGUUUUUCUAAUGGUAAAGUUACACCAAAAAUGUGCUUGUAAGCCAAGAUCUCUGGGAGAUGGCUGCAGCAUCAGUCUUCUUU
rnacentral:lncRNA from 1 species